AAACAUUAAUUAUGGGCAAAAAACAUAAAGAGAGAGGAAUUGAGAGAGAUUGGGCGAGAAAAGAAUGAGAAUGGGGAUUUGAGAGAGAAAACGAGAGAGAGAAGAAAGGGUGAAUGGAGAGAAUGAAAUAUUGGUUCAGAUUUUUUGACGAAAUCAGCACCGAAAUCGCUCACCGGUUACUGUUGCGGCAGAAAUCCAUCGAAACUCGUUGAAAAAACGUCAAACUAGUUCAAACCCACCAAAAAAAGGCAUCUCUUGCUAGUUUUUCUUACCACGGAUCUCAAAGCUACCAACCUGCCACAAAAAUACAAAAAAUAAUUGACCCAUUUUUACGCUGAUUUCAAAAGAAACCCACCGAAAAUCGACCCAUUUUUACGUCGAUUCCAAAAACACAACUAGCUCCCCUUUUUAGUUAGAUUUCUGUUUGAGCUUCCGGUUUGUAGAGGUUAGCUUGUAAUCUUUUAAUUCGUUUGAGUUCGAUUCAUCGAAGUUGAAAUUUGGGUUGAAUGUUCUAUCGGAAUUCCGUGAUUUCUUCUCAAAAAGUUCAGAUUUGGUUUUCUUUAACACUUUGUGGCAUUAAUUUGAGAUGGUGGUGUUCGUCACUGAUGCCAACAGUGUGGUGGUAGAAGCCAUCCUAAGACAUUCUGACCUGACUUAUGCAAAUGUUUAAAAGCAUGAAAGUUCUGGUACUUGUACUUACUUUGCAUGUAUUGAAGCAUUGGUGCUCUGUAUACCAAAGAGGUUGAGCGUGCGUUGUUGCUCUGUAUACCAAAGAGAUUGGGCGUCCCAUUAUACUGUCACUCCAACAUCUCUUGGAUGACGUUCUGAAUGAAUUUCUUCAUCUAACAGUGUAGAACAACGUAGAUCAAGGUGAUUAAUUCAGCUCAUAAUAUUCCGAAAUCAUCAAGAUCAAGGCGAUUUCUUCAUUUUAUAAUGUUGCGAAAUCAUCAAGAGACUUGGGAUAUGUCGACCGGAUAAUUAUCCACAACCAGUUGGAUGAAGCAAAACAAAGAGAAGUCUUUUGUCUGAUAUUAAAGACAAAAAAAGACUUAGCUUCAUUUAAUUGCGGGAUAAGCAACAUAUUCGUGAUAGAAAAUUGGAGUAUGAUUGGACAUAUAAUAGUGGAAAGAAUCUAAUUCGGUUUUCGAAAUUGGAUAUCAUUUGACUACAACGGUAAAGUUAACAUAUGAGCACGCUUAGUGAACAUUUUUCAUUCCUUUGUAUUUUUUUUUGGUUUAUAUAUUCCAAAUAAAAUUAGUAUAAAUUUUCUUCUAUGUAGAGUGAUUUUCCUAAAUCUGAAAUUUACUCUAUUUUUGUUUGUUUAUUUAAUGAAAUUUACUCUAUUUUUGUUUGGAGAUUUAAUGAAAUUUACUCUAUUUUAGUUUGU